UGUUGAUGGAGAUUUAGGAACUGCCGGUGUGGUCCACAAAUUACACUAUUUUAGUACUCAUUAGAAACAAAUAAGUUCCAUCCAUUCAUUGACGUAGGAAAGUUGGAUCUUUUUUUUUUUAGGGAAAUAAAAUAAAGUCAGCUAUCACCUUUUUCAAGAGACAAAAGGGUACUCAUGCUGAUUAGAAGAUUUGCUUUGUCUUGCAGAGACUCAACAUAAAGAAAAUUCCAUAUGUUUUGUCAUGAAGGAAAAAUAAGAUGGAUCACAGUCAAGGAAUGGAAAUAUAAAUGACUGGUUCUUGCUUGCAGGGGUUCUUGGAAAAUAUUAAUGGGGAAUCAUUAGAGUUCAUUUUGGUGGAGGAACUGAUCCAAGGAUAUGAGCUUCCGUGGUUAACAUCUGCAUCUUCUUUUGGCUUCAUAAUUACAAGCUUUCAUAUUCUACUCAAACGUAAACAGAGUGGAAGUGGUUACUCAAUAUUUAAUUACCUAAAGGAAGUCAUGAUUUCACGCUAUUUGGACAUCUGUUCUAAUAAUUAUGUGUCGCUGGUUUAUGAAUUCAUAAAGCUAGUUAUAGGGAUCAACCGCUGGCUUUUUAAUGAAGGCAUAUGCAUGGAGAUUUCAGUUGUCCUGUUGGAGAUAUGUUUAUGGGAAUAUGAUCACCUCUAGCUUCUGAAAAGAGUGCUGCGUACAUUCUUAUGUUGUUGUAUGCUAAAAUUCUUGAAAACAUAGUGGAGUCUUAGGCGUUGAGGUCCACUAAUGCUGACCAACACUAACUUUUCUUCUCUAUGUCUCUUAUAAAAACAUUUGUUGAUAGCAAGUACUAUGCGUUCAAACUUGCUUUUGCUGGCUUCACGAUGUAAACCUCAAAAAAGAAGAAGAAAACUGCACUGGAAUACACAUCAAUUACCUCUUUUUCCA